rnacentral:lncRNA from 1 species
UUCUUUAGGAGUCUUUAGCACAAGAGGAAUGGGUUCAACUUCCACCACUGGCUUUGUUCCAGAUACAAUUGCAAUCUCAGUUUCUGGAGGAGGAAGAAUAACUUAUGUCUCAGCUCCAGCUUCAUGAGUAAGAGUUUCUAGAGGAGGAAGAGCUUUUGGAGGAGGUUUUGAAGUAAACAUCUCCAUAAGAGGCUUUAUGAUUUCAAACAGCUUGUCAUAAAACUCUUCUGAUCCGCUUUGUAGCAAAGUUCUUU